AACAGUGUAUAGUAUCACAAUUUGAACGAUUGUAUGCUACCAACAAAAAGCAUUUUGAUUACCGAUAAUAACUUCAGGCACAAACCCAUAACCUGGUGGUUUGAAUGUCUAAUUUAGAACUUGAAAAAAUGUGGAUGUAUAUUGCCCAUUUCAGCUCAAGAUGCCAUUUCAAAUUCACCAGGAUAUGUGAUGAAAACAACACAGAAACCCAACCUUGACUGGCUUCUAACAUGCUCUAUUGGUCAAACAUAAAUAAAUUGAAAGAAAAUACCCAACAAUUAAAAACUACUCAAAAAGCAAAUAACCUUUAUAUCAGUCAAUGUUGAAACUGGUUACAUACUCAAAUCUGAUGAGAGUAAACUUGUUACAUACUAUCUAGUUAUAUCAAACACUUUUCAACAAAUGUAAUACAAACAUAAAAGCACUCCCUAUAAACAAGAAAACUAAAAACUGUUGCAUACACCCUAAAGCAAUGGUUCAAAAGCGGAUAAGUGACCCGGAUCAAGCACCUCAAAAACCGAUCCGGAUCGGGGAAUCGGCGAUCCGAAUUGGGAAUUGGUAGGAUUAAAGCUUUAAAAAAAUCUGAAAAAAUUAUUAAAAUUCAUUCAAUAAGAAAUGAGGGUCCUACAUUAUUAACUUUCAUUUUUUUCAUCAAUUUGUGAAUAUUGAGAUGCUAUUUCCCUGUAUAAACUUAAGUAUUAAAUUUGCAUCACAUAAAAGAAAAAUCAUAGAAUUAUCAUGGAUAAAAUAUAUAAUUAUACAUAGACUAUAAUAAAGAGUAAACUAAAUCAAUGAAAGAAUGGCCAUUAAAAUCUCGUUUUGGCAAAAAACCCUAAUCCGCUAAAAAAACCCAAAUUAUUACAGCCUAACUAACUAUAAUCCAAAAUUAUUACAACCUAACUAAUUAUAAUAUUAUAUACUGAAAUUAUAAUUAUUAGUUUACAUUUUAUAAUUUUUUUAUUAGAUAAAUAAUAACAAAUUAAAAAUAUUUUAUAAUGUUAUCUAAUUUAAAAUGUAUUAUUGACAACUGUAAGAAAAAUAGUACAUUACAUGAUUUAUAAUGUAAAAAUUAAUAAAUAAAAUAAAAGAUUUGGUUAUCAAUGUAAAAAUUAAUAAAAUGUGUACAAAUUUUGAAAAUAACAAUUUAAUUUAUUAUAUGCCCAAGGGGGAACAAAAAUUAGCUCAAGAAGGGAUAAACUAUUAUAUGGCCCAAUGGGGGAUUCGAACUUGAAAAGUCAAAGCAAAUAACAUUAGUGAUAACCAUCAUGCCUCCUUAUUGUAUGUGUUUAAAAUUGCCUAUUAAUAGCAUAUAUUUACAUUCUGUUUUCAUUUAAUAAUAUUUGGGAAUUAUCCAACAUCAAAGGAUGAGUAUUCAAAUAUGCUAUAUAAAUAACUAUGUAAUUAGAAGAUAAACACAAGUGUGAAAACAUUAGGGCAUCGGUGUGCAUGUCGCACGUGUGGCACAUGUGGGAGUGGUGUGUGUCGCACGUGUGAUGCGUACACAAGUGUGAAAGUGUUUUUGAGGCCUGAACCGGCUAGAACGAUGCACACGAGCAUGUGCGUGUCACAUGUAUGGCACGUAUGGGAGUGUGUGUGGCACAUGUGGGAGUGUGUACCACUCGUGUCACACGUGUGGGAGUGGUGCAUGUCGCACGCGUGGCGCGUACACACGUGUGAAGGUGGUUUUGAAGCUAGAACCAGGAGAGAACUGGCUAGAACAGGGAGGGAACCGGACAGAACCGGGUGGGAACCGACGGUUCUGCUCUAGAACCGGGAGGUUCCCGGUUUUGUGCUGGAACCGGCACGGGAUGUGUCAAUUCCCGAGUCGAACCGGACGAGUCCGGUUCAACUCGCCGAUUUUUAAAUCAUUGCUCUAAAGCAAAACCACCGGUUCUCACCUGGUUCUAGCUAGCCUCAAAAGCACCUUCACACGUGUGUACGCGUCACGCUUGCAAUAUGCACCACUCCCACAUGUGACACGAGCGGUACACACUCCCACACGUGCCAUACGUGCGACACGCACAUGCAUGCGUGCAUCGAUUCUAGCCGGUUCAGGCCUCAAAAACACUUUCACACGUGUGUACCCGUCACACGUGUGACACACACCACUCCCACAUGUGCCACACGUGCGACACGCACAUGCACGGAUGCCCUAGUGUUUUCACACUUGUGUUUAUCUUCCAAUUACAUAGUUAUUUAUAUAGCAUAUUUGAAUACUCAUCCUUCGAUGUGGGAUAAUUCCCAAACAUCAU
rnacentral:lncRNA from 1 species